rnacentral:rRNA from 1 species
CCUACGGGUGGCAGCAGUGGGGAAUAUUGGUCAAUGGGCGCAAGCCUGACCCAGCAACGCCGCGUGAAGGAAGAAGGCCCUCGGGUUGGUAACCUUCUUUAUUCAGGGCGAAACAAAUGACGGUACUGAAUGAAUAAGCCACGCCUAACUACGUGCCAGCCGCCACUGCAAUACGUAGGUCGCAGGCGUUAUCCGGAUGUACUGGGUGUACAGGUUGUGUGGGGUGGAGAGGAAGUCAGACGGUAAAUUCCAGGGCUCAACCCUGGAACUGGGUUUGAAACUGUUCUUCUUGAGUGGUGGAGAGGCAGGCGGAAUGCGGGGUGUAGCGGUGAAAUGCAUAGAUAUCCGGCAGAACACCGAUGGCGAAGGCAGCCUGCUGGACAUUAACUGACGCUGAGGCGCGAAAGCGUGGGGAGCGAACAGGAUUAGAUACCCUAGUAGUC